CCUACGGGAGGCAGCAGUGAGGAAUAUUGGUCAAUGGACGAGAGUCUGAACCAGCCAAGUAGCGUGAAGGAUGCCUGCCCUAUGGGUUGUAAACUUCUUUUAUAUGGGAAUAAAAUGUUCCACGUGUGGGAUUUUGUAUGUACCAUCUGAAUCAGGCUCGGCUAACUCCGUGCCAGCAGCCGCGGUAAUCCGGAGGAUCCGAUCGUUAUCCGGAUUUAUUGGGUUUAAAGGGAGCGUAGGUGGAUUGUUAAGUCAGUUGUGAAAGUUUUAGGCUCAACCGUAAAAUUGCAGUUGAAACUGGCAGUCUUGAGUACAGUAGAGGUGGGCGGAAUUCGUGGUGGAGCGGUGAAAUGCUUAGAGAUCACGAAGAACUCCGAUUGCGAAGGCAGUUCACUGGACUGCAACUGACACUGAGGCUCGAAAGUGUGGGUAUCAAACAGGAUUAGAUACCCGAGUAGUC
rnacentral:rRNA from 1 species